AGAGUUCAGGACUGCUCUGAACCAAGUUAUGGAGGCCAUAGAGGAUAAUGGUGGAACUGGAGAUGAUCCGUUACAGAGUUCAUACGAUCGAGAUCCGAUACCUGACCCUCUGCUGUGGCCUGGACCUGGGCUCAGGAAUCAUGAGAAAUGAUGAGAAAAAUUUGAACAGAGGAGCUGUGGACAGGCUACUCCUUGAAGGGCAGGAAGGGGAAGAGGGCCUUUAAUGAGCUAUCAAUCUAUGAUGCUGUCACAAGAGCGUCCCUGAAAGCACACCCCAAGGCUACCUACCAAGAGGUAGAUGACAAAAUAGCAGACGCUCUCAAACAUGCACCAGCUCGGCUCAAGAGUAAGAGAAAGGAGCGGCUCGAGGAAGAGACUGUGGAUGAGGAUGGAGCAGCAGCACCUGAAUAAACAUAACAUAGUUAUUCACUUUUAGCUUUAAGCAGUUUUACAGUUCUUGAUUGGAGUGCAGUGUUCAUGUUUUUACUGACUUGUUAUUUUGUGAGCUUAUUGCUGUGA